rnacentral:rRNA from 1 species
CCUGCGGAGGGAUCAUUGCUGGAACGCGCCCCUGGCGCACCCAGAAACCCUUUGUGAACUUAUACCUUACUGUUGCCUCGGCGCAUGCUGGCCCCCUGGGGGUCCCUCACUCCGGUGAGGAGCAGGCACGCCGGCGGCCAAGUUAACUCUUGUUUUUACACUGAAACUCUGAGAAAAAACACAAAUGAAUCAAAACUUUCAACAACGGAUCUCUUGGUUCUGGCAUCGAUGAAGAACGCAGCGAAAUGCGAUAAGUAAUGUGAAUUGCAGAAUUCAGUGAAUCAUCGAAUCUUUGAACGCACAUUGCGCCCUCUGGUAUUCCGGAGGGCAUGCCUGUUCGAGCGUCAUUUCAACCCUCAAGCAUUGCUUGGUGUUGGGGCACUGCUUUUUACCCAAAAGCAGGCCCUGAAAUCUAGUGGCGAGCUCGCCAGGACCCCGAGCGCAGUAGUUAAACCCUCGCUUUGGAAGGCCCUGGCGGUGCCCUGCCGUUAAACCCCCAACUUUUGAAAAUUUGACC